AAUUAAGCCUCAAAUGUGACUGAUUUACUAUAGAACAAAGAACACGAAAAUUCACCAAGCCGUCACCAAGAGGAGAAAUUUGAAAAAUGGGAACUGGUUGAUGGAUAUGGAUGAAUCUUUGCAUCAGUGUUGUGUUUAUGCAUAGAAAUCAGGAAAAUAAAGGAUAACUGAUAGACCAUGCAGUUACCAAAGCCGGGGUUUGAGUACAGGACCUUACCUUAUACUGGUUAAGAUCUAUGGAAGAACUCUUUCAGCUCAGUUUGGCAGCAGAUUUGUCAGGACAAGUUGAGAAGGAACUCAUUUGUUGGCGGAAGGAUUAAAGAUGUACCACCCACCAGCAGUCAGGAGUUUUCAAAGUGGUGAAUUUAAACUGUGUUACAACAGAGUGAAGAUUUCUGAAAAAAGUAGAUGGCUAACCUAUUAUAUUUUGGGCCUCAUUUGACUUAAAUAGUGUUGAUGUUUAAAGUUGAAGACAGUUUAUAAUUAAUCAAGAACA